GUGAAAAUGCAGAUUCAGAUUGAGGACCCUGGGAGUCUGCAUUUCCAAGAUGCACCGAGCUGAUGCCAAGGCAACUUGUCCAUAGACCACAUGGAGAAACAAGAGACACAGCAAGAGUGGGAACACCAGCAGGAAGAGCUGCAGAGAGAGAGAGAGGGAGAAGCAGGAUUUCCACCGAGUAGGAAGACAGAUGCAGGG
rnacentral:lncRNA from 1 species